CGUGGGCAACCUGCCCUGAAGGCGGGGGAUAACAUCUGGAAACAGGUGCUAAUACCGCAUAACAACGAAAACCACAUGGCUUUCGUUUCAAAGAUGGCUUCGGCUAUCACUUCAGGAUGGGCCCGCGGUGCAUUAGCUAGUUGGUAAGGUAACGGCUUACCAAGGCGAUGAUGCAUAGCCGAGUUGAGAGACUGAUCGGCCACAAUGGAACUGAGACACGGUCCAUACUCCUACGGGAGGCAGCAGUG
rnacentral:rRNA from 1 species